rnacentral:rRNA from 1 species
UACGGAAGGCAGCGGUGGGGAAUAUUGCACAAUGGGCGAAAGCCUGAUGCAGCUAUGCCGCGUGUAUGAAGAAGGCCUUAGGGUUGUAAAGUACUUUCAUCGGGGAGGAAAAAACAAAACUAAUAAUUUUAUUUCUUGACGUUACCCGAAAAAGAAGCACCGGCUAACUCCGUGCCAGCAGCCGCGGUAAUACGGAGGGUGCUAGCGUUAAUCAGAAUUACUGGGCGUAAAGAGCACGUAGGUGGUUUUUUAAGUCAGAUGUGAAAUCCCUGGGCUUAACCUAGGAACUGCAUUUUGAAACUGAAAUACUAGAGUAUCGUAGAGGGAGGUAGAAUUCUAGGUGUAGCGGUGAAAUGCGUAGAUAUCUGGAGGAAUACCUGUGGCGAAAGCGGCCUCCUAAACGAAUACUGACACUGAGGGUGCGAAAGCGUGGGGAGCAAACAGAAUUAGAUACC